AGAGUUUGAUCAUGGCUCAGGACGAACGCUGGCGGCGCGCUUAACACAUGCAAGUCGAGCGAGAACCAGUCCUUCGGGACUGGGGACAGCGGCGAACGGGUGAGUAACACGUGGGUAAUCUGCCCUCGGCACCGGAAUAGCCCGGGGAAACCCGGAUUAAUGCCGGAUGGCCUCUCUGCCCUUCGGGGCGGUGAGAAAAGGUAGCUUUGGCCUCCGGCCGAGGAUGAGCCCGCGGCCGAUUAGCUUGUUGGUGAGGUAACGGCUCACCAAGGCGACGAUCGGUAGCUGGUCUGAGAGGACGAUCAGCCACACUGGGACUGAGACACGGCCCAGACUCCUACGGGAGGCAGCAGUGUGGAAUCUUGCGCAAUGGGCGAAAGCCUGACGCAGCGACGCCGCGUGCGGGAAGAAGGCCUUCGGGUUGUAAACCGCUUUCAGGAGGGACGAAGCCACUCAGGUUAAUAGCCGAGAGGGUGACGGUACCUCCAGAAGAAGCCCCGGCUAACUACGUGCCAGCAGCCGCGGUAAUACGUAGGGGGCUAGCGUUGUCCGGAUUUAUUGGGCGUAAAGAGCGUGUAGGCGGCCAUGUAGGUCCGGUGUGAAAACUCGAGGCUUAACCUCGAGAUGUCAUCGGAAACCAUUUGGCUAGAGUCCGGAAGACGAGAGUGGAAUUCCUGGUGUAGCGGUGAAAUGCGCAGAUAUCAGGAAGAACACCAAUGGCGAAAGCAGCUCUCUGGGACGGUACUGACGCUGAGACCCGAAAGCGUGGGGAGCGAACAGGAUUAGAUACCCUGGUAGUCCACGCCGUAACGAUGGGCGCUAGGUGUGGGCGGUGUCGACUCCGUCCGUGCCGAAGCUAACGCAUUAAGCGCCCCCCCUGG
rnacentral:rRNA from 1 species